rnacentral:rRNA from 1 species
AGUCUUAGGAUAAUUGAUCUAAGAUUAAACCUGCCCAAUGUUUAUCUCAUGAAUGGCCGCGGUACCUUGACCGUGCUAAGGUAGCACAAUAAAUUGGCCUUUAAAUGAGGCCAUGUAUGAAUGGAAUCACGGAGCUUAGCUGUCUCUAAAAUUAAUUUAUUGAAAUUACUAUUCAGGUGAAAAAGCCUGUUUUAAGAAAAAGGACGAGAAGACCCUUAGAGCUUUACUAAAAUUAAAAAUUUUUUAAGACAGUUUUGUUGGGGCAACAUAGGAACAUUAAAAUUUCCUUAAAUUAAAUCUACCGAUAUUUAUAAAUUUGAAUAAGCUACCUUAGGGAUAACAGCAAAAUUUUAUAAUUUAGUUUGUGACCUCGAUGUUGGACUAGGAAACUAGUAGGUUAGCCGCUUAUUAGAUAAGUUCUGUUCGAACUGUAAUUUCCUA